rnacentral:rRNA from 1 species
UACGAAGGGGGCUAGCGUUGUUCGGAUUUACUGGGCGUAAAGCGCACGUAGGCGGUUCUUUAAGUCAGAGGUGAAAUCCCAAGGCUCAACCUUGGAACUGCCUUUGAUACUGGAGAUCUUGAGUCCGGGAGAGGUGAGUGGAACUGCGAGUGUAGAGGUGAAAUUCGUAGAUAUUCGCAAGAACACCAGUGGCGAAGGCGGCUCACUGGCCCGGUACUGACGCUGAGGUGCGAAAGCGUGGGGAGCAAACAGG